rnacentral:piRNA from 1 species
UGCUCAGAUGGAACCACUGUUCCCUCAGUGU